rnacentral:rRNA from 1 species
UACGUAGGGGGCAAGCGUUGUCCGGAUUUAUUGGGCGUAAAGAGCGUGUAGGCGGCUUGGUAGGUCUUGCGUCAAAACCUGAGGCUCAACCUCAGUUCGCGUGGGAAACCAUCUAGCUAGAGUCCGGAAGAGGAGAACGGAAUUCCCAGUGUAGCGGUGAAAUGCGUAGAUAUCGUGGAGAACACCCGUGGCGAAGGCGGGCUUCUGGCUAAUAACUGACGCUGAGGUGCGAAAGCUAGGGGAGCGAACGGG